rnacentral:lncRNA from 1 species
UUCUUCUUCUUCUUCCUCCUCUCCUGCUGCUCUUGCUCUGAUACCUUGCGAUGUAAGUGGCCACUGUUGGCUCCUCCCGUAAACGCUCAUUCUACCUCUGACCUUGAAACAAGCAGAUCCAUGGAUCGCACACCUUGCGAAUGAUGCCCAUCUUGGAAUUCUCAACAGGAUUGGACCUAGUUCGGUCCAUAACAUGAACAACAGAGCCCACAAUUGCAUCUUCCGGACAACUCAUAAAAUGAGGGCCUUAUAGUCCAAUCCACCACCACCUCCGCCUCUUCGGCGACGUCGCAUUCCGCGACAAGUAUUCUUGCUUUAGGGAAAGAUUCUGAGAGAUAGGUUCACGGUUAAACCCUGACGCCGUGGAACUCGUUGUAAACGAUGCAAAGGACGCGGUCGAUGCCAGCAAGUGGGCGUCUUCAACCUUGGGACGCGACGCAAGCCAUGUUGCCUCACGACUCUUCUGAGAAUUCUGGAGGAGGAAGAAAGAUUGGAUAAUAAGAAGAUGCUGAAACGAUCACUAGAACUUCAAGGUGGGGUUUUUAUGUUGGGUUCACAAGUGCUAAUCUUUGUUUUCAUUUAACAGUUGAUUAAUUUUCUUGUCUAUGUUAAUAUUGCUUGCAGUUUUUGUCCCUAAAUUGAUCAUUAAUCUUUAUGCUUUUUGUAUGUCGAAAUUAAAGAACUAAUUCGAUCUGGUCAUUAUUUCUAGUUCACUAAAAUUGGUGAUGAUAAGCUAUUAUGUGGCAUUAUUAACAUUUGCUUAUUAUAUGCAUUAAUAGUUUCUGAUACAAAGAUAUGCAUUUUUUUCUACUUCUUCUUUUUAUUUGUUUGCUUACCGUAAGGCUUAAUAUCAUAUGAUAGGAGGGCAUGUAAUUUUUCUGUUCUUUUAUUUGUUUAUUUAUUUAUUUAAUCUGAGAUCCGGUGAAGCAAGGAUCAAACAGGACAACAACGGUCAAAUCAUGCCUGAUGAGUAAGCCAAUGAAAUUUUAAUGGCAGGACUAGAAUCAUUGCGGAAAUAGUAGCUGGAUCCUCAGUUUCAUAUUUCGGUGCUGUGUCGUGAGCCUUGAUCAUUGGGUCAUGGUUCUAAGAUAUCGAGCUGUGCUCUACUUAAAAUGUGUUUUGGUCCUCAGGCUUUUAAUGAAGGUCAAAUUUAGAAGAAUUUGAAUGGCAAAAAAUUUCUAAUAUUUUUAACGGCACUAGCUUAUAAAGGGAUGAAAUAUUUGUUUUACAUACUUCUAAUAGCAACACCAUGAUAUAUCUUUAAUUUUGAUUUCUAUCAUGGCAUAUAACGUGUAUGAUCUUAAAUUUCCAAGCGCAUUAGCUCUUGGUUUCAUCUUGAAUCAACUGUUAACGGAAGUCCCUAGUUCAGCCAUUAAACUUUUAGAGAAUGCCUAUGGUUGGUCACACAAAUAUAAAAAGAAUUGUUUUGUUUCAUUGGUUUUGGUUCUUGAACUAGAAUUUGACUCUUUAUCUUUAACAAUUCCAAGAGAAAAGAAAAUGGGCAGAAAAUUUUUUUUUUUUAUCGUGCAAUAGAUGUAUCAAGUCCAAGAUGUUGCACUACCAUAAUACCAUUCUUAACUAUAUAGGAUACACAGUUUUUUUUAUAGAACUAUUUUUUUGCACUUCUCAUUUCUUCUUGAUUAUUUAAUUAGAUGUUGACAUUUAAUUAUGGGUGUAAUUGACUAAGCACUUUAGUCUCAGUAUGAGUCUUAGGAAGCAUGAAUUCUUACUUUUCUUUUCCACUACUGAUUAUUAUGGACUUUAAGGACUAGUGGUAGAUACAUAUUAUGGUCGUUGCACCUUACAUUGAAAUUCUCGUUGCAAUCUGAACAUAUAACACUCAGAUGGAUUCCUGUCUUCAAUAGUAAGAUAAUUCCUGUAUGUCAUGGGUACAAUCUUUUAUGAAUGCGCAAAGCUAGUCGUGGAAAAUCACAAUUGAUAUUUUAAAGUGCCUAGAGAAACCAGGAUUCAUGAGACAACAUUUGCAAACUUUAAUGGACACCAGUGAGAAAGAAACUUCUUGAUAGCCACAAAAAUAACCAACAUCAUUUUCCUCCGAACAUCUUCAUACGAUUUUUCUAUUUCCUGUAAAAUCUUUACCUCAUAAUCCCCAUUUCUUUCUCUUUUUUUCCCCCCUUAGGUUAGACUGAUGUUCUGUGGACAAUACAUGCUGAAGUUUGGGCUUUAUAAGAGGAUGCAGCAAUGGCCUCACCAACCGUCAUAUAGAUUCGUUCUGAUCCGAAAAGAUCCCAAGUCCCCAAUUGAGACAGCUUCUGUGCCACUUCCAGGACAGGAUUAGCUAGUACAAGCUGCAAAAUUUUUUUUUGAACGUUCCUGUUACUAAAUUGAAAGACUGUGUCUACACGAUUAAGAAGGAUAUGAUGGAGGAGGAGAAUCCCUUACGUCGAUAAAUCUUUUGUCAAGUGUCUUCUUCAGCUCUGCAAGUGUUUCCAAACCACUUAUAUCUAUUGCUGUUACGGCUGUAUGGAUUUGGAGCUUAUGGUUAGUGUACAAAUAAUAGAUUAAAUUUCUCUGGGCCACUUGUACAGUAAACCUAUUUGUUAAUCUUAGGAUGAGUAUUUUCUGAUUAUAAUUCUACGUACCAGCCAUGUCCAGUAUAAUGCAUUUAAGGGAACUCUCAUUCAACUUUUUGAUUUUCUCUUCCUCUUCUCGAACCCAUCUCAAGAUCCUGCGCAUAAGAAUAACAAUACAUGUAACUUUUAUCAAGAACGAAUACAGCUGUGUUCAGAGAAUUUGAUCAUCAGUUGCUCUAUUAAUUAGUCACUAGCCGAAAGAGAUGCAAAUCUUGCACCUUGGGCAAUUAGAUGUAGACCAAUAUAGAUAAAAAAUAGGCCUGCUCUAAACUGGAAGUGCCUUCAGGUUCAGGUGUUUUUGGAUUCCCAAUCUCAAGCUAGCUUUAUAUCUAUUUCAAAGCAAUACUUAUGCUCUAAUUUUUACAGUUAGCAUUCUGCCCGUUUUUCAGUGACCAUUUAUUCAGCUAAAUCAUUUCAUUCUCUGGGUUAUAUUUGAUCCAUGAACUCUAAUAAGGCAAUUUAAGGUGUAGGUGAGUACUGUAAAGUUUUGUUGGCCCUUAUAUCUGGAUUACAAAGAUUCUGAAUAAUGGCAAGAUCUUGAAUGUGUUACCAAAUACUGACACCAGCCCAAACUAACCUUUCUUGCAGAUAUAUUGAAUUGGUGAAAUAGAUGGGGGAUUCAAUGCCAAGGAUUAGAAAUGAAGGCAGCUGUACAGCCUCCCUGUAUUGCGCCAGAUUUCUGUAACUGUUUGUUCCUGGGACAUUCCCCAUGAUCACUGUGUUUGGCCUAGUAACAUGAACCAGAAUUUUGAAUAAAGAUACGCCCACCUGCAAAACAUGGAAAGAUUAUAAAACAGCAAAUUUUGGCGUAGUUAAAGGUACAUAUCAUCGAACUGGAAUGCUUCCCUUGGUUUGUUAAAGCAGAAACUGCAGUAGAAUAAUGAAGAAUGCUUACAGCUAUGGCGAGGCCCGUCUGUACUGAGAUGAGAAGAACCCCAAAGAAAGCACUCAUACAAGCCAGGAAAUCAAAUUUAUCCACCUUCCACAGCAGAAAUGCACCUCGAACAUCGAUCAGUCCGAUCACUGCAACAAUAAUGAUCGCCGACAACAUGACGUUGGGAGUAUAAUAGAACAGUGGCAUGAGAAAUAGCAUGGUGAAGAGCACUGCAGAUGCCAUGACUAUGUUGGAUACUGCUGUUUUACAUCCAGCGUUGUAGUUUACAGCUGACCUUGAGAAUGAACCUGGGUUGUAUUUUCCAACAAAAGAACAAGCGAUUUUAUGGUUAGUUUUACAUGUAGCAUGUUGAUUUGACUACAGCCUAUAUAACAAGAAUAGCUACUUGUUGCUAUAUGUACUAAUUUUGUGUUACCACUUGUGAUGUAGCAUGAAGCACACGACCCUGCCAUGUUCAUGGCUCCUAAGGCCACCAUCUCUUUGUUGCCAUCAAUCUGAUAAUUUUUCAGAGAAGCAAAUGUCCUCCCCACAGCCAUUCCUUCCUGUAACCCACAGUAAGUUCGUGCUUGUUAUUUCGAGAGGGAUGAACUCAGUCGUUUUUCCAUUUCAGCAAUGGAAGAUUUUGAAUCUCAAUUUACCAAAAUGAGUUGAAAGGUUUAGUGUGUUACAGUGAGAGCCAAGAUUCCAGUAAUUAUUCCAGUUCUGAUGGCAAGACUCAAGUAGGGGCCUCUAAAGAACAGCAUGUUCACUGAAGGAGGAUCCACCCCUUUCUGCAAAUGCCCAAUCUGUUUAACACCAAGAAGUU